AGAAUAGACCGAUUGUUUUUCUCUGGCUGAACCUGAAGGCUUCAGUACAAUUUUUCCUAACUGACCUUAAAUGUAGCAUAAUCAGUCCCGCUCUCUGAUUGGCUGCGGUUGCUAUGGGAGCGGUUGAGGUUGCUAUGGUGACACCCGUCUUAAGGAGGGACUCCGUAAAUCCAGGUUCCAGACUCCUAAAGCUCCGGGGUUUCUCGGCUAACAUGCUAAUACGCUAACAGAGAGUUAUUUUCAGUAAACUGCGGAAAAAACACGAAGAAGUCGCGGUUUUAAGCGUUUAAGCCACAGAGCAACUACCACACGGACCGACGGAAAAAACUUAGAAGUUUUCAGUUUUUUAAUUUACUUUAAACAGUUUGUUAGAUGCUAACCUGUUAGCAAUCAGAAGUUUAUAGAAAGUGUGGAAGGAAGCUGAGGUGAGGGCAAGUGGGGGGUUCCGGAAGUUCCCGGUCCUGCUGGCCCGGUUCAGAAUGAACGAUGACCAGGAACUGCAGGGAACCGCCGAGUUCAUCCGAGAUCGUCUGUACUUUGCCACUCUUCGCAGUAAACCUAAAAGUACGGCCAACACUCACUACUUCUGCGUCGAUGAUGAGUUUGUCUACGAAAACUUCUAUGCAGACUUUGGUCCGUUGAACUUGUCCCUGUUGUUCAGAUACUGUUGUAAACUCAACAAGAAGCUGAAGUCUUUCACUCUGACCAGGAAGAGAAUUGUUCACUACACCAGCUUUGAUCAGAGGAAACGUUCAAACGCAGCUGUUCUGAUUGGAGGAUACGCAGUAAUUUACCUGAAGAAAUCUCCAGAAGAAGCUUACAGAGCUCUAACCUCUGGCUCCAACGCCCCCUACCUGCCCUUCAGGGACGCAGCCUUUGGAAACUGCAGCUACAGCCUGACUUUGCUCGACUGUCUUCAGGGCAUCAGAAAGGCUCUUCAGCACGGCUUCUUCGAUUUCGAGACCUUCGAUGUGGACGAGUACGAACAUUAUGAGAGGGUGGAGAAUGGAGACUUGAACUGGAUUGUUCCAGGGAAGUUGCUGGCCUUCAGUGGACCCCACCCCAAAAGCAAGGUGGAGAACGGUUACCCUUUGCACGCACCUGAGGCCUACUUCCCUUACUUCAGGAAACACAACGUAACGACAGUGGUGCGUCUGAACAGGAAGAUCUACGACGCCAAGCGAUUCAUGGAUGCCGGUUUUGACCACUUUGAGCUGUUCUUCGUAGACGGCAGCACGCCCAGUGACGCCAUCGUCAGACGAUUCCUGCACAUCUGUGAGAACACAGACGGAGCUGUUGCCGUGCACUGCAAAGCUGGUCUGGGCAGGACAGGCACUCUGAUUGGCUGUUACCUGAUGAAACAUUACCGCUUCACAGCAGGUGAGGCCAUUGCGUGGAUCAGGAUCUGCAGACCAGGCUCUGUGAUUGGACCGCAGCAGAACUUUCUGGAAGAGAAGCAGGCAGAGCUGUGGCUGCUGGGCGACAACGAACGCUCCCAGAAGUCCCAGUUGGUAGAGAGGGCGGGGCUUAACCUCAUCACCAGUAUGAAUGAGCUGACAAUAAGUCCCCACAGCAGAGUGGACCAGCAGCAGGAGCCAACAGAGGGCACUGACGGACUAACUCUGACUCAGGGAGAUAAACUGAGAGCCUUAAAGGGUCGACGACCCCCUCGGUCUGUUACCACAGGAGCUCUGAGGGUCGGUGAGAUGAAGAUUCACAGCAGGUCGACGACUCAGCCGCUCAGGUUAUCGAUGGGGAGUACCCAGGGCCCCGCCUCCCCCCUCAAGACCACCAGGUUUUCAUCGUCCUCUACUUCUGCUGCAGCCAAAAGGAUUGGGAGGAGUGCGCCACCUACAGGCUCAAACAUCAGGAGCUCAGCUCUGGGCUCCCGAUUGGCCAGUUCCCUCAGUGACCUGUAUGCUGCAGAUGUGAGGGAGGGCAGGACACCUCCCUUUGCCCCAUCCCCUUCUGCUGCCCCCUCCUCCUCUUUGGCCCCGCCCACUCUUUGUCGCUUUUCUAAUGGUCCAAUCGGCAUGCAGCACGAGGUCAACAACAACAACAUCCGGCCUGCGUACAGGGGUCUGGGGGCUCAUGGUGCCAUGACAUCAGGACGCUACCUGAGCCGUUCCAUUCCUGUAAGUUCCUGACAUCUGUGACAUCGGCUCAGGCACCGCCCACCUCCCCAAUACUUUGUUAGUCUCUUCAGUCGGACUUCGCUCACUACUAAAACUGCACCGACCUGAAUGGAGGUCUAUGAUGAGGAUUUCCCACAAUCCUCUUCGCAUGCUGGACGCCACGUUGUGUGGAAGAUUUUGAAGAGAUUUUACUUUAUAUUUGUACUUUUGUGACAGAAGUAGAAGAAACCUAUUUUUAUUGUAACAAGAAGAAUUUAGUUUAUUAAUGAACUGAAGCGUCAGCUGAUGCUCUGGGGUCACAUGACAGUGUUUUCUAUUUUUAAACCAGAACAAAAGAGAAAUGGGGACUGAUCCAACCAAGGGAGGCUAACAGUUACAAUAUGAACGUUAGCAUGUGUGCGUGGUACUGUGUGAGUAUGAGAGUGUGCGUGCGGGUUAGCAUACAUGUGGUUCAAGCGUCUGUGUGUGUCGGCAUGUUAAUUGUGGCAUAUGAAUGCUAGCAUGGUUCUUGGGAUGUGUAUGGUCUGAGUGUUAGAGGAUGUUUGGGUUGUUAGCAUGUUUGGUCACAUAUCUAAGUAAGUGACAAAGCAUAAAACAGUGUGCGUAUGUGUGUAUGAAUGUUAGCAUGUGAGCUCAAAAGUGUUGACAUGUGCUGACUGAGUCUCAGCCAGUCCUUGUUUAAGCUGAGCUAACAGUGUACGUCUAGUCUUUAUGCCGAUAAUAAUUAUACUUCCUGUUAGUGGACACUUGCUGCUGAUAGGCUCACUGGAGUUUGUCUGAUUUGGCGUUAUCUCCUAACAAAUGGACCGUAUGGAUGACAGGAAAUGAUGUACAUACUAUCAAAAUAAAAGGUUGAAAGGGACAAAUUAAAAAACAGCAGCUAAUUUACCACAGGAAAUGACCUCUGAGAGUUUCUCAACAAAAUAAAACAAGUGCCUUGUGCUGACCUUAACAAAAGGCUUUUAUUUUGAAAAGAUUUAAGUUUUUGAUGCUAAAAGGUGACAUGUUAACGUCUUGGACACAAAUAAAACAAAUAUCUCCUCAGUUGGGUUUCGUUACAUGUCCCUGAACUCGUCAGCAGAUUCUGGUCACGUGACUCUUCAUCAUCAGGUGACAAUGAUCAAUCAGCAACUGAUCAAUACCAGGUCAGUGGUCAACAAGGUUGUUUAUC